rnacentral:lncRNA from 1 species
UCACCUAGAUAAUUUUACCUAUGGUGAGUUAAUGGUGUAUCCUCCUAUCGAUGUCACUUACUUGGCCAAUUGGAUGAUUGAGUUCAUUAAUUGCUAAGGAGUUUUGGUUUAACCCAUGCUAAUUAGAUCAGUCAUGUGAUGAUAAAUUAGAUGAGACCUUUUCUAAACCUCCCUAAUUAAUAUUAAAUCUUAUGGUCUUCCACCAUUGUAGAAGUACGGAUGUGGUACUAGUGUUGAUUAUUCUCAGUUGGUUACAGUAGUUCAGUUGCAUUAGAAAUGCAACCACUCUACUAGCAAAGAGUUGCUCUAGGGUGA